AUUGAGCGCUGGUGGCAUGCCUUACACAUGCAAGUCGAACGGUAACAGGACUUCGGAUGCUGACGAGUGGCGAACGGGUGAGUAAUACAUCGGAACGUGCCUAGUAGUGGGGGAUAACUACUCGAAAGAGUGGCUAAUACCGCAUGAGAUCUACGGAUGAAAGCAGGGGAACGCAAGACCUUGUGCUACUAGCGAGGCCGAUGGCAGAUUAGGUAGUUGGUGGGAUAAAAGCUUACCAAGCCGACGAUCUGUAGCUGGUCUGAGAGGACGAUCAGCCACACUGGGACUGAGACACGGCCCAGACUCCUACGGGAGGCAGCAGUGGGAAUUUUGGACAAUGGGCGCAAGCCUGAUCCAGCAAUGCCGCGUGCAGGAUGAAGGCCUUCGGGUUGUAAACUGCUUUUGUACGGAACGAAAAGCCCUGGGUUAAUACCCUGGGGUCAUGACGGUACCGUAAGAAUAAGCACCGGCUAACUACGUGCCAGCCGCCGCGGUAACAC
rnacentral:rRNA from 1 species